rnacentral:rRNA from 1 species
UGGGGGAGUAUUGCACAAUGGGGGAAACCCGUAGCAUGCAGCAACGCCGCGUGAGGGAAGAAGGUCUUCGGAUUGUAAACCUAAGUAGUCAGGGACGAAAGAAAUGACGGUACCUGAAGAGUAAGCUCCGGCUAACUACGUGCCAGCAGCCGCGGUAAUACGUAGGGAGCGAGCGUUGUCCGGAUUUACUGGGUGUAAAGGGUGCGUAGGCGGGAUGGCAAGUCAGAUGUGAAAUGCCGGGGCUCAACCCCGGAGCUGCAUUUGAAAUCUGUCGUUCUUGAGUGAAGUAGAGGCAGGCGGAAUUCCUAGUGUAGCGGUGAAAUGCGUAGAUAUUAGGAGGAACACCAGUGGCGAAGGCGGCCUGCUGGGCUUUAACUGACGCUGAGGCACGAAAGCAUGGGGAGCAAACAGGAUUAGAUACCC